GGGCCAUCUGCUGAUGACAACAUGCCCAGGCAACCCAAAGAGCAUUUAAAGAGACACAGCCCGUCUCCCAGGACACGCUUAAUUCGCUUGUCGCUUGUCAUUUAAAAGGUACACUUAAAGCUUGAAUUUUUGUAUCCCACUUAUUUGCACGGCUCAAACCCUAAGUGCAAUGCCUCGGACUGGAGUCAGUCCCAGGAACUAUUUGUUUCCACCUCUCACGCCUUCUGCCCAGAGCUUCUCUGGGGACGCGAAGGAAUGUGGACUGCAACUCUGCGGCAUUUACAUCACAGAUUGGAUUCCGUGGAAGUCAAACCAAGUGUUUUUAUUACAAACAAGUCAGCCCAAGGCCAAAUUGGGAAGGACCUUUUGGAUUUCCAAGCCUCCCACCCAAGCCCCAGCCUCCACGCAGGAGAGAGUCCCCAGGUCCCUGUAGGUGGCCCAGGGCCCCCUCUAGUUCCUCUCUCAUUUCAUGACAUUUCACCUUCCUUCUCAGGCCCCAUGGGGCACUCAAGAAGGUGAGGUCUUCCAGGGUGCAAGGAAGUGUCAAGAGAAGGCAGGCUCUCUGUCCAGGGACGCUGGGGACAGGCAGCCCCGCCCCCAGGCGGGUUAGACCAGGAGGAAGCGGUGAGCCGAUGGAUGCCUGGCUUCCCCUCCUGGCCAGACCCUGGCUCAACACGGUGACAACUGCGUCACAUCUGGGGAUUUCCUACCCCAACUCCAUGAGUAGGAAGAUGUGGAGGAUGCAGUUGAUAUCAAAUGCAUCCUGUCAUCGCACAAAACCAAGCCUUCGGGCCCUGAACCAAGAGAAGACAUCCCUUCUCGGGGGACAACCGCCUGUGCUGAGCAAAACAGCGGGAAGAAAAGGCUCUCAGACACGGUCAGAAGGAAAAAAGCAAGAGCUGGAGAACCACACCACGUAGAAGAUGAACAGCAACUGCCUCCCUUCUCUUUUUAAUGUAAGGUAUCUUGUGCAUACAAGAGAGUAGGUCGUGUAGGCUCAGCUUGAAAAAUAUGUAUAAAGCAAAUACCCUUGGAACCAUCAUCAAAGUCAGACACAGAUCAGGGCCAGGGUCUCAGAGGCCCAUCCCUCGUGAGCCCCUCCUGGUCACAGUUUCACGGGAGCAG
rnacentral:lncRNA from 1 species